rnacentral:rRNA from 1 species
AGUGAACGCUGGCGGUAGGCCUAACACAUGCAAGUCGAACGGCAGCACAGUAAGAGCUUGCUCUUACGGGUGGCGAGUGGCGGACGGGUGAGGAAUACAUCGGAAUCUACUUUUUCGUGGGGGAUAACGUAGGGAAACUUACGCUAAUACCGCAUACGACCUACGGGUGAAAGCAGGGGAUCUUCGGACCUUGCGCGAUUGAAUGAGCCGAUGUCGGAUUAGCUAGUUGGCGGGGUAAAGGCCCACCAAGGCGACGAUCCGUAGCUGGUCUGAGAGGAUGAUCAGCCAAAAUGGAACUGAGACACGGGCCAGACUCCUACGGGAGGCAGCAGUGGGGAAUUUUGGACAAGGGGCGCAAGCCUGAUCCAGCCAUACCGCGGGGGUGAAGAAGGCCUUCGGGUUGUAAAGCCCUUUUGUUGGGAAAAAAAAGCAGCAGGUUAAUACCCCGCUGUUCUGACGGUACCCAAAGAAUAAGCACCGGCUAACUUCGU